rnacentral:sRNA from 1 species
CCUGGGCUGUUGGGACUGCUAGUCCUGCUGGCCAGUGUGGGUGUGGCAGGGCCCAGCCGGGCUUCCCUGCAGGCUCACCCUGACUGGUACCUCUGACCCUCUGCACAGGUCAAGUGCAUCGUGCUGCAGGUGCUCCGGGGCCUCCAGUAUCUGCACAGGAACUUCAUUAUCCACAGGGACCUGAAGGUUUCCAACUUGCUCAUGACUGACAAGGGUUGUGUGAAGACAGGUGGGUGCAACUUGGGCCAGGCCCUGUCCCUAGAUGGCAGCUUGUCAGCCCUCACUUGGCAACACACGCUUCCCUUUCUGCUGCAGCGGAUUUCGGCCUGGCCCGGGCCUAUGGUGUCCCAGUAAAGCCAAUGACCCCCAAGGUGGUCACUCUCUGGUAAGUCCUUCUGAAGCAUGGUGGCCCCUGGGGACCAGGCCUGCCUGGUGGAGGUCUCCUUGGGGAUGUCAGGCCGAAGCUGCAAGUGGCCUUGGGAAUGUUAAGCUACAGAGUCUGUGCACGCUGAGAAAGGCUGGGUCUAGGACAGCCUCCAGGACACAGCAGGGCUGUGCCACAAAAUGGUGAGAGCCGGGCUCAGUGGCGUCAAGGGCCUGCCUAGAUGAGACACACCUCGCCUUCAGAGCUGGAAA